UCAACUGAAGCUGUAAGCAGAUCUGAAAUGUAAAAUCUAGCAGUAUAAAAUUGCAGAUGACCAUUAUUUAAACUGGCAAGAUGAAUCGAGUUUAGGAAUAACUAAAAAUUUUAAAGUCAAGUCACUCUUUCCUAGAGAGUGUUGAUGCACUGGCAUUUGGUGACAGCUCCAUAGAGAACCCUAGUAGGCAGAGAGGAGGUGAUACUAACCUUUUAAACAAAACACACAAUGUCUUGGUUACUUAACAUUCCACUCCUACCGCCCUCCCCUACUUCCCGGCCUCAGCAACGUGGUUUUAAAAUGAGAAGCACACCGGAUUACUCUGUGUAGGUGGUGGAGUGGGAGGAGGUGAAAUGCAAGCUUUAUUUUCCCGACUGCUUGUCAUCCAAUUCCCCACUUCCCUCUGACUUUCAUGAGUGAUGAGGUCAUCCCGGCGCAGGAAAAUCAAACUCCUAUUUUUCAAGCCCAAUAAAGGCCGGCAUUGUAUCCUGCGUAAACAGAGGCCAGACGGGUAGGGUGGCAGGAACACGAGCGGCCCGCCCCCUGGCGGUCGCCUGAGGCAGUCGAGCCCUGCACUCCACCAAACUGCGACAGGGAGGCGGAGAGGCUGCGAGCUAAAACGACGCAGAGAUCCAUUACAGCCGCGGCAGGGGAGAGGAUGCUGCAAGGAGAUGAUGCACGCCACGGUACAACCUCGCUGGCUGGUCCCGGCUUCAUCUGGCCUCAGAUCCGCGUGGGGUGGGCAGUGGGAGGAUACACUCCUGCAGUUGGUGGCAGCACUGAGCUCUGCAGAACUCAUUCCCCUGGCGGACCCCUCAAGGACUCACUCCGCCCACUCCUUAACCUGUGUGGAAUCCUAUGUCUGUUUAAACCGACAGGACCCGAAAGGAAGAACCAUCAUGGGGGCGGGGGGCCUCCUGUAGAUGCAGAGAGGCACUGGCCGCUUCUAACCAUCCAGAGCUUGACUGCCUGUGGACUAAGGUUUCUAACCUAGCUUCCCUAAGGGACUGUGUUACUCAGGCCUCGCUCAGACAGUUGCUGUAAAUAGCUGCAAACUCCCUUCUCCCACAUUUACAGCAAUCUGUGUGAUUGCAUGUAUAAUAUUUAAGACUUUGGUGAAAUGUCCAGGUGCUCCAUCCAGUCCCUGACAUACUGGGAUACUGAUGACAUUCCCACUUUCCCCAAUCGGUGGAAGUCAUUUCCAAUAUAUAAAGAAAUGCUCACACCUAGCUUUUGUGUUCGGAGAAGGCAAUGGCUGGCACCCCACUCCAGUACUCUUGCCUGGAAAAUCCCAUGGACGGAGGAGCCUGGUAGGCUGUAGUCCAUGGGGUCGCUAGGAGUCGGACACGACUGAAGCGACUUAGCAGCAGCAGCAGCAGCUCUUGUGUUUAAGUUGUCAAACUAUUUUCGGUUUUUGACAGAUGCUAUAGACAGAGGCAAAAUCUGAUACAGCACUGCCUCCUCAGAAGCACAAGAUCAAGUCUUAGUUCUGGGGGUAAAAAUUUAAGCAUUCUAGUCUUAGAUGUGUGCACAGCAUGUUUUAUAUGAUGUAUUUAUGUAUUUUUCUUAAUUUUUUCUAUUAUUUUUAACAACUUUCUUGAAUAACCAUAUUUAUCAUAGAGAAACUUUAAACAGCCAGAGUAUUUUAAUAUUAGCUUCAAUAUACAUUAGACAUAUUUGUUGUUUGACAUUAAAGGAUUUUGAAGUAAAGAUA